AACGAACGCUGGCGGCAGGCCUAACACAUGCAAGUCGAGCGAGGACUUCGGUCCUAGCGGCGGACGGGUGAGUAACGCGUGGGAACGUGCCCUUUGCUUCGGAAUAGCCCUGGGAAACUGGGAGUAAUACCGGAUGAGCCCUUUGGGGGAAAGAUUUAUCGGCGAAGGAUCGGCCCGCGUUGGAUUAGGUAGUUGGUGGGGUAAUGGCCUACCAAGCCGACGAUCCAUAGCUGGUUUGAGAGGAUGAUCAGCCACACUGGGACUGAGACACGGCCCAGACUCCCACGGGAGGCAGCAGUGGGGAAUCUUAGGCAAUGGGGGAAACCCUGAUCUAGCCAUGCCGCGUGAGCGAUGAAGGCCUUAGGGUUGUAAAGCUCUUUCAGCUGGGAAGAUAAUGACGGUACCAGCAGAAGAAGCCCCGGCUAACUCCGUG
rnacentral:rRNA from 1 species